rnacentral:rRNA from 1 species
UACGUAGGGGGCAAGCGUUGUCCGGAUUUAUUGGGCGUAAAGAGCGUGUAGGCGGUUCGGUAGGUCCGUUGUGAAAACUCGAGGCUCAACCUCGAGACGCCGAUGGAAACCCCCGAACUAGAGUCCGGAAGAGGAGAGUGGAAUUCCUGGUGUAGCGGUGAAAUGCGCAGAUAUCAGGAAGAACACCCGUGGCUAAGGCGGCUCUCUAGUACGGUACUGACGCUGAGACGCGAAAGCGUGGGGAGCAAACAGG